GUGCUUGCUGUAACUGUACAUAAAUUAAAAUUGGAAUGAUACAGAGAAGAUUAGCAUGGCCCCUGUGCAAAGAUUAUACACAAAUUUGUGAAGUGUUCCAUAUUAAA